CCUGCGUUCAUGACGACCAGUUUCAACUCUUAAUUUGUGAUUACUUAACCUAAAUUUAGUAAGAAUUCGACAAUUGCCAUUAUUUAUAGAGGAUAGAUAGGUUUCUUUACCAAAUGAAAAUUUAAAUUUGAAAUAAGUACUCAAUUUACCUUUAUCCUGUAAAUAAGAAUCUCUGGUUACUUUCCAAGUCUCAAGAAAACUGUUUCGG
rnacentral:lncRNA from 1 species